AGCGCAGGCGGGAAGACAAGUUGGAAGUGAAAUCUAUGGGCUCAACCCAUAAACUGCUUUCAAAACUGUUUUUCCUGAGUAGUGCAGAGGUAGGCGGAAUUCCCGGUGUAGCGGUGGAAUGCGUAGAUAUCGGGAGGAACACCAGUGGCGAAGGCGGCCUACUGGGCACCAACUGACGCUGAGGCUCGAAAGUGUGGGUAGCAAACA
rnacentral:rRNA from 1 species